rnacentral:rRNA from 1 species
GAGUUUGAUCAUGGCUCAGAUUGAACGCUGGCGGCAUGCCUUACACAUGCAAGUCGAACGGCAGCAUGAUCUAGCUCGCUAGAUUGAUGGCGAGUGGCGAACGGGUGAGUAAUACAUCGGAACGUGCCCUGUAGUGGGGAGUAACUAGUCGAAAGAUUAGCUAAUACCGCAUACGACCUGAGGGUGAAAGUGGGGACCGCAAGGCCUCAUGCUAUAGGAGCGGCCGAUGUCUGAUUAGCUAGUUGGUGGGGUAAAGGCCCACCAAGGCGACGAUCAGUAGCUGGUCUGAGAGGACGAUCAGCCACACUGGGACUGAGACACGGCCCAGACUCCUACGGGAGGCAGCAGUGGGGAAUUUUGGACAAUGGGCGAAAGCCUGAUCCAGCAAUGCCGCGUGUGUGAAGAAGG